CUCUACAUCUGGAAUGAUGACACACUCUUCUGCAAUUCGGGCUUUCAGCAGUCCCACUGGCAGAUCAUCUUGAUGCAGUGUGCAACAUCAACCCGAACAAAACAAGGUGGCACUUUUGCAGACUGAUUACCAACAUUUGCACGACUGGGACACUUGAGCUCUCAUUACCUGCCAGAACGCCCUGAUAUAAGAAGACAUGGCCAGAUGUGCCAUUUGGUCUCUGUAGUUUCCUCACUACUGAGCCAGUUGCA